rnacentral:rRNA from 1 species
UACGGGGGGGGCAAGCGUUGUUCGGAAUUACUGGGCGUAAAGGGCUCGUAGGCGGCCAACUAAGUCGGACGUGAAAUCCCCAGGCUUAACCUGGGAACUGCAUCCGAUACUGGAUGGCUUGAAUCCGGGAGAGGGAUGCAGAAUUCCAGGUGUAGCGGUGAAAUGCGUAGAUAUGCGGAGGAACACCGAUGGCGAAGGCAAUCCCCUGGACCUGUACUGACGCUCAUGCACGAAAGCGUGGGGAGCAAACAGG